AUAGCGUAUAUUAAAAUUGUUGCAGUUAAAAAGCUCGUAGUUGGAUCUCAGGUGUGAGUCGUCGGUCCAGUCUUGUGCUGUGACUGUGCGUUCUCCGCCUUCAUCAGUCGUUAGACGCUCUGUGGUGCUCUUUACUGGGUGCUAUGGAGUGCACGGCACGUUUACUUUGAAAAAAUUAGAGUGCUCAAAGCAGGCCAUUGCGCUUGAAUAGUCUUGCAUGGAAUAAUGGAAUAGGACUUCGGUUCUAUUUUGUUGGUUUUCGGACCCGGAGUAAUGAUUAAAAGGGACUGCCGGGGGCAUUUGUAUGGUGGUGUUAGAGGUGAAAUUCUUGGAUCGCCGCCAGACAAUCUACUG
rnacentral:rRNA from 1 species